UUUUUAAAAUAACUGAGUCUAUUUGCAUUUUUUAUUUAAAAAAUAAAAAAAAUCGUUGAACGCCUUCGUGCGAAAGAAAGCGCACACGGCAUAUUCAGCGUUUCUCGUGGGAAUAUCCUCUCGCGCGCGGGAAUAUUUUGCCGGGAAGAGCGAAUCUACCGUCUCUGCUCCGCUUUCUCGCUCGUCUUGCACCGCACGGCCACCCUUCCUGUCCUCGUCUCUUCUUCACCUUUCCACUCGCUCGAUGCACAUAGGCACACCUCUCUCUCCCCGGCUUCCUCUCUGUAUCGUAUGUCUCGUUCGAAGCCGUGGGUCGUCACCGACGAGUCCGUCGCCGGCGGAGCAACCGUGAACCGCCCGUCAUGAUUACCAGGGAAGGAGAUGCUCAGCGACUCCACAUGGAAAAGAGGCAUCGAAGAAACGAUUUUAUGAUCUCAGUAUGAUACAGGAGAAUGGUGACAGCACCAGCGCGGCAUGUGGCCGUGAAAUAGAAAAAAGUUACAGACUCUUACAGGUACAUACAACAACCGUGCCCUGCGACACUUCUGUCCAGGCGUGCACUAUGAAUCGUCCAUGUUCUCGUGUCGUAUUAUUCUGCUAAGAGCAAGCGUUUUCUCGGAAAAGUUUCACAUUUUUUGGAGAUGCUAUUCUAAAAUCAUCUCCGAGGUAUUGGGGAGAAGUUGAAUUAUCAUCUCGACUCCCCCACUAUUUCGAGAAUAAUUGACAUGUUGUUUCUGCAAAUUCAGACAAAAGUUCAGUGAGUGCGAAAGAAUUUGUCUAGCAGAUACCGCAAGGGAACAGGAAGGAUCCUCCUUACCUUAUGAGUUAUGACUCAAUUGCUGCAACCCUUACUGGCUUCAUUACUCUUACAAUGUUCAUCAUGUGCUCAAACCCCAUCACUAUCACCCCUAUGAGAUAAAGAAAGCUUAGUUGCAGCUUGCCAAGCAAGUUAUAUACUGCUACGGCGGCAUUUGCACCUUCAUCUGUUCGCAUCGUGACGGUAAUAGGUCUUGCAGAAAUAAGUGCUCCGGUUUCUGAUGAGGAUGCAGUGUAAGAGAUGUGCUCUAGAACAAUAGCCUUAAAGAGAAACUGCAGAUAUUCAGCCAUGGUAAGCUUACCUGAUGCAUUCUCUGGCUGGGACGACCACUCUUCAGGUUUCAUCGCAGAUUUGGUGGCCUUUAUCAAAUCCAUAAGCGCAUUGUUCACCUGGAAUUCAUAAAAGGUCACAUGAGUUCUACUGUGCUAUCGUGUAAACUGUCAUAACAAGGGAGGAAAGCGAAAAUCAGCAAACUUAUGAGAUGAAAUAAGCCUGAGAACUGUGGAGAAGGUAAUCAUGUCAAUGGCACAGUAUGCUGGUUGGUUUGCUCUCCACUUAUCUUUCUAUGAAGAUAUCUGCUCUACAAUUGUACGUUCUUAAAAUGCUUGUAGCAUGUACAUUAUUGCUCAAGCAUCCUUCUGCUAACUAGCCAUAAGUUGAGUAUGUGAAGUUCUACAUAUUUUGUAGGAGCAAUGUAGUUUGCAACUCCAUAUUGUUGCUUUUGAUCCAUUAUCGAAAAACUCCUAGAAGCCUAAGAUUAAUGGAUCGUUGUUGAAUAUUGUAGUUGA